rnacentral:misc_RNA from 1 species
GAUGAAGAACGUAGCGAAAUGCGAUACGUAAUGUGAAUUGCAGAAUUCAGUGAAUCAUCGAAUCUUUGAACGCAUAUUGCGCUCUCUGGUAUUCCGGAGAGCAUGCUUGUUUGAGUAUCAGUAAACACCUCAACUUCCAUAUCUUUUUUGAAAUGGGAGUUGGACUUGAGUGAUCCCAACGCUUUUCCUCACCGAAAAGUGGCGGGUUACUUGAAAUGCAGGUGCAGCUGGACUUUUCUCUGAGCUAUAAGCAUAUCUAUUUAGUCUGCCUAAAAAACAGAUUAUUACCUAUGCUGCAGCUAACAUAAAGGAGAUUAGUUCUUGUGCUGACUGAUGCAGGAUUCACAAAGACAGCUUCGGCCGACUUUGUAAACUCGAUCUCAAAUCAAGUAAGACUACCCGCUGAACUUAAGCAGAUCAAUAAGCGGAGGA